rnacentral:rRNA from 1 species
UACGUAGGCAGCGAGCGUUGUUCGGAGUUACUGGGCGUAAAGGGUGUGUAGGCGGUUUUCUUAGUUUGGUGUGAAAUCUCCCGGCUCAACCGGGAGGGUGCGCCGAAAACUGGAGGGCUAGAGUGCGGGAAGGGAGAGUAGAAUUCCUGGUGUAGCGGUGAAAUGCGUAGAUAUCAGGAGGAAUACCGGUGGUGUAGACGGCUCUCUGGACCGCGACUGACGCUGAGACACGAAAGCGUGGGUAGCAAACAGG